rnacentral:rRNA from 1 species
UCCUACGGGGGGCAGCAGUGGGGAAUAUUGGGCAAUGGACGCAAGUCUGACCCAGCAACGCCGCGUGAAGGAAGAAGGCUUUCGGGUUGUAAACUUUUUUUAAGGGGGAAGAGUAGAAGACGGUACCCCUUGAAUAAGCCACGGCUAACUACGUGCCAGCAGCCGCGGUAAUACGUAGGUGGCAAGCGUUGUCCGGAUUUACUGGGUGUAAAGGGCGUGCAGCCGGAGAGACAAGUCAGAUGUGAAAUCCACGGGCUCAACCCGUGAACUGCAUUUGAAACUGUUUCCCUUGAGUGUCGGAGAGG